rnacentral:rRNA from 1 species
AGAGUUUGAUCCUGGCUCAGGACGAACGCUGGCGGCGUGCUUAACACAUGCAAGUCGAACGAUGAUGCCCAGCUUGCUGGGCGGAUUAGUGGCGAACGGGUGAGUAAUACGUGAGUAACCUGCCCUUGACUCUGGGAUAAGCCUGGGAAACUGGGUCUAAUACUGGAUACUACUUCUCAUCGCAUGGUGGGUGGUGGAAAGGGUUUUACUGGUUUUGGAUGGGCUCACGGCCUAUCAGCUUGUUGGUGGGGUAAUGGCUCACCAAGGCGACGACGGGUAGCCGGCCUGAGAGGGUGUCCGGCCACACUGGGACUGAGACACGGCCCAGACUCCUACGGGAGGCAGCAGUGGGGAAUAUUGCACAAUGGGCGGAAGCCUGAUGCAGCGACGCCGCGUGAGGGAUGACGGGCUUCGGGUUGUAAACCUCUUUCAGUAGGGAAGAAGCGAGAGUGACUGGUACCUGCAGAAAGCCCGCGUUAUUCCCGUGCCAGCAGCCGCGGUAAU